rnacentral:rRNA from 1 species
AGCGAACGCUGGCGGCAGGCCUAACACAUGCAAGUCGAACGAAGUCUUCGGACUUAGUGGCGGACGGGUGAGUAACACGUGGGAACGUGCCUUUAGGUUCGGAAUAACUCAGGGAAACUUGUGCUAACACCGAAUGUGCCCUUCGGGGAAAAGAUUUAUCGCCUUUAGAGCGGCCCGCGUCUGAUUAGCUAGUUGGUGAGGUAAAGGCUCACCAAGGCGACGAUCAGUAGCUGGUCUGAGAGGAUGAUCAGCCACAUUGGGACUGAGACACGGCCCAAACUCCUACGGGAGGCAGCAGUGGGGAAUCUUGCGCAAUGGGCGAAAGCCUGACGCAGCCAUGCCGCGUGAGUGAUGAAGGUCUUAGGAUUGUAAAAUUCUUUCACCGGGGACGAUAAUGACGGUACCCGGAGAAGAAGCCCCGGCUAACUUCGUGCCAGCCGCCGCCGUAACAC